rnacentral:lncRNA from 1 species
UUUAGAAAAAUGAUUAAUUAUUUUUGUCCACAGAGUUAUUAUUACUACGACAUCACAAUCUACUUGAAAUAACUUGUGAGUGAUAUAAAUAUAAUUCUGUUAGUAUAAUUAGUAGUAAUAUUACAAUUGUGUUUUAAUAGUGAUAUAAGACAUCACAGCCACUUGAUAUAAUUUUGUUCCUGCCACGGCUCGGAUCUGGACAUGAUUUUUCGCGCCCCAGAUCCGGCCCAUGACACGGCAGUGCUAUUGUAGAAUGUCGCUGUAACAACUCAGGACCUCAUCCAAAUGACUAGCCGGAAGGUAUUAUUUGUAUUCUUUGAUCCUUUAUAAGUAACUAAGAUUUAUCUAGUGAAUAACCAAUGUGAGACUAAACACACGUCCGUACAGGUCCUCACAUACUCCCCCAUUCAAGCCUUCACGUCCUCGUCAGGCUAAGGAUUUAAAUCUAUUCAAAUCUAAUCAUAAACACUAUGAUCGGCCCGUGGUCAGCCCCAAUGGAUCCAUUCUGUAGUGUCCCCUAGUCUACAUAGGCUAUGGGUCGGGUCGGCUCUGAUACCAUUUGCAACAAUCCAAGCCCUGACUCAAAAUAGCUAGCCGAAAGGUAUUAUUUGAGUUUCUUGAUCCUAUAUAAGUACCCAAGAUCUACCCAAGACUUUAAUGGGAGAGAGUAUGUAAGGAUCCAUGUGGGCGUGUGUUUAGUCCCACAUCGGUCAUUUGCUGGGUAGAUCUUGGGUACUUAUACAGGAUCAAGGAACCUAUAUAAUAACUUCCGGCUAGCCAUUUUGGGUGAGGUCCUGGGUUGUUGCAAAUAGUAUCAGAGCAGACCCGGCACAUAACCUAUGUGGACUAGGAAACACUGCAGCACAUAUCUAUUAGGGCUGACCACGGACCGAUCGUAGUUUUGUGAUUAUAUUUGAAUAAAUUUGAACUCUUAGCCUGACGAGGACGUCAGGGCUUGAACAGGGGGAGUAUGUGAGAACCUGUGCGGGUGUGUGUUUAGUCCCACAUUGGUUAUUCACUGGGUAGAUCUUGGAUACUUAUAUAGGAUCAAGGAACCCAAAUAAUACCUUCUGGCUAGCUAUUUUGUGAGGUCCUGGAUUGUUGCAGUUGCCCACAAUAACACGAAUCCUGUGAUAACUAUAAUUCUUCUGCUUAACAAGAUAAAAUUUCAUCAAUUUGCAAUUCAAUAGGAAGUAGGUACAGAGCAUCUAAAUCAAGUAUUCGAGUUUGCAAGAUAACAACCCAAUUUUAUUAAUAUGGCUACAUCUAUGAAAUCUUGUAUCUAUGCUUCAAAUCCCAUUUUCUUUUGCUCUUCCCCGCUCCUAGCAACCUUACUUAUCUAAAAUAAAAAAAAAUAGAAAGAGGAUAUGAACUUGCGGCUCAGUAAGUAACCAUGCACAAUCUUACAAGAUCAAGCAUAAUAUUUUACAUGCUAGUGCAUUAAUUUAAAAAAUAGCAGCUAUAGCAAAGUAAUCAUUUUAUAUAAUAUAUAUUUAAACUAUUCAUAAAGCAAUGAAUGCCCAAUUAUACAAGUUUAUAAAUAUGAAUGUGCAUCGUAGAAAUAUUGUUAUUAUUUCAUACUUUGAAAUCCGUAUUCUCAAAUGGUAGUGCAGCUAUGGUCACUAUUAUUACCCAUGACAGGGUCGUAAUUUUUACCAACUACUAUUAUCCGUUGGCA